GUAGGAAGAGGAAGUUUGCUGGAAUGAGGAGCCCUCAGGUCCAAAGUAACUUGAAACAUCCCUUAUUUUUACAUGAUUCAACGGAUUCCUUGGGCAUGCAGAUUAUCUACUAAACGGACGGAAGGAGUGCGCCUUCUGGAUUCAGUGACAUCCCUGCCUUGGCUGAUGAGAGGACAGCUAAGGGAGACACCUGACACUGGCCUGGAGUAAGGAGAGGAAGGGAAGUGCUCUAUGUGAAUUUAUAAAUUUUGGUAAAGGUUUUGGCAUGGGUGGUUUGCUGGUGUUAUGUAUUGGGGUUCCAAUUAAAAGUGUGGUUUUUCAUGUGUCGUUUGUCUAGAAGUUGGUGAAAUGGUUUUGAUUCUUUUUAAUCUUCUUUUGAAGUUACUGAGAAAACAUGCUUUCCAUCACUUAUCUGUUAGUCUAGUAUGACACUUCUGUUGCAUCUGCACUUUCUGAUGUCAGUUUUGUCCCCAGACAUGGCUGUACUGAGGUCUGCCUUACAACAGCUUACCUGCCAGCUUACCUCCAGACUG